rnacentral:misc_RNA from 1 species
AAAGUAUAUCUGUUUUCUUUGUUUUUGGGUACUCGACCCUUUUUCUUGCCAGCACUGCGGCUUCCCUUGUCUCACAAGAGGCUCCUUCCCUUGCUCAUUCGGCAGCGCGUUUGUCCCUCCCCUCUUUUGGGUAUGUUGUAUAUUGAUUUUGAUUCUUUUGAUUUAGAGUAGAUGGAGAUAGGCAAAGAGAGGGCAUUUUUAAAAUCUGCUUCUUUGUGGUUGUGUUUUAGAUCUGUUGGUUUUUAGUUUCCUUUUCCUGUGUUGGAUAUCUUUUGCAUGCAAGAUUUGUCCGGGGAUCAGUGUUGUUGGAUUUGCUCCAUGGUGUGAACAUUUGAGUGGGGAGUUUGGAGAGAGAGUCACCUUAGGGUAUUUAUUUGACAUCCGUUGGUGCUCGCUGACAUAGAUGUGGGUAGGUUUGGACGAGGCAAGGGAAGAGUAAUAAAAGAAAGGAUAAG